UUGGACAGUAAUUUACCGUUUCUCAUAAAUACAGUUGAAUACUGUAAAUAAACAUUAAUAUGACAAACAAAAUAAUAACAGCAAGCUCCUGUUCAGUCUUACGGGAUAAUACAGUAUUUUUUGGUUUGGUCAGGCAUGUCAGACAUGUGACGAGCUCAUCUGCAACCAUGAGUAAAACUGAUUUAACUACACUGUUUUUCUGCAUUUUAUUAUACGAGAAGGAAGCAGAAUUAAAGACUGUCUAUCCAUUUUCACUCCGAUUGUGACCCUACCAGCACUGAGACGGACGACGAAUUCACUUGUUUUUUACUCCUCGCCUGUAUAUCAAGUUGCUGGUGAUGAAGUAACAUUUGGAGGUUGGAUGAUCAGCAGUGAAAACAUCAUCAUCUGUGAAGGCAAGAUGAAGCUGCGAGGACACUGGAGUUUGUUCAAAGAUGCUUAAUUGGUGUGAACCCUAAGAGGUGAACAAAAGCCAGGCAGGUGAAGGUGUCCGAGAAGACAGGAAAGCUUGUCCAGAAAAACGCAGCAACUGUUAAUCCCCAUGUGACCACCCUCAUCAAAAACUUCAUGGACUUUGAGUGGCUUUCACAUUGUAUUCUGCAGUGUUGUGAUAUUUAUGUGACAUCACAGCAUUAUGUUUUAUUCAGCCCAGUCUCAUUAGUGAGGCAGAAACUGACAUUUAAGAAUGCACUGAAUUUUGUUAUAUUUAAUAAAAACAGUGUUUUAUCAUCAUCCUUUGUUUGAGAAUUUUUUUGCAAGCAAUUUUAAGUGUUUAUUUUAAAAUUACAUUUUAACAAUGCUAGAAAAAUCACAUUCUACAGUAUAAAUAACAGCAGGAACCCUAAAAUAACAGUAUAAUGCAUCCAAACAUCUGACAGUAUUAUACUGUGCAGCUCCCUUUUUUUACAGUACUGUCUCGUAAUAUUUGUACAGUAAAAAACUGUUGUUGUAAAUUACAGUAGGUAAUCUGUAAAAUUACAACUAUAUGCUGGCAAAUCUAGCUGCCAGUAUAUUACUGUAAUUUAACAGUGAAAUUUUUUACA